GCAGGAGCUGUGGACACUUUUCAAGGUCAAAGCCAAGACUUGUCUCCAGGAGGGUUGGGAGUGAGCAGUGCCGCAGCAGAGGCAAAGACACACAGUGCCUCUGCUGACUCAUCACCUCACUGCUGCUUGUGCUGACAGGUUGUCCUGGAUCCCUGCCAGCUCCCCUUGCAAUUCUGCAAGAAAUCCUUCUCCAGGAUGGUGUUUUCUUUCUGCCUGUAUGAUAUUGCCUCUAGAGGGAUGCAGCACAGCUGUUGAAUGAGUCCACGUGCUUUUUCAAAAAAUCCUGACAACAUCUUUGGAUUUCACUGAAUUGUUCCACAAGUGAAAAGUGGAUUUCACUUUGUAGGAGCCUUAAUCCAGUGGAGAAUACAACAUGUGGCUAAAGAAGUUGGGAAUCCCUUGUGAGUAUCCUUCAGAAUAGAUAGAAUAAGAUGGAAAGUUCAUUGCAUCUCGUUUUGAACCAAAAUGUGUCCUAUCACUUUAAAUGAAUGGCUUUACUUGGUGGCCAUUGUGACCAAAGAAAGUUGUCGUGGAAACCUUGAUAGGAUAAUAACUACCUGGACAGAGCUAUAAGGCCCCAGACACUGUGUAAUCAGGUGGCCAUUUAUUCUGGAAGAUACGUAUUUCUGUCUAGUAAAGGAGAAUGGAAUCAGUUGGUUAAAAUGCAUCUGCUGUAGUAGGAUCCAGUAAUGAGAUACAAACACUUUUUCUUGUCUAUCAAAGACAAUUACUGCAUGGCACUUUGAUUUAUUCACUGGUAAAAAUAUUCUAAAGCUGUUUAGAGGAGCCCAAGUGUGGAUGCUAAAGAAGGUUUUAUUCCGGAAGUUAAUUUUGCUCAAAGUUCUCCUCCCUUCCACAUUGUCUGUGCUCGUAAUUACCAUGAUUGUGUUCUUUCCUGUUAGGCUGGAUAUCUCUGUACUGCACUGCAUUCCACAGUGUACACAUAACCAAAGUGCCAAUUACACCACUUGAGAUAAGUAUUAUCCUGUACAAAAAGAAUGUGCUUAAUUGGUCUUGUUUAAUUUGAGCAUUUCACAGUGUAAGUGCAAAGGGCUAAAAUAAUCACACAAUUGUAGUUGAAAAUGUUUAAAAAGUACUUGAAGUACUUUUGUGAAACAGAUGAUAGGGAAGCUUAUCCAGUCCUCUGAGUCAUACUACUCUGGUUAUCCAGGAAUUCAAGCUGAAUGUGGAUACUUCCAUAUAGUUUUUUGAGCAGUUUCCUGAAUUUGUCACGUUUUUAUGUAGUUACCACAAGAGAAGGAAGAUGGGAACUGAAAAAAGGCAUGUUUUUUUUUCAAACUGAGUACUAGGAGUCUGAAUCUUUCCAGGAUCAUGGUUUGCCCUUUAAAGUUAUAUAAGAUAACCAUUCAGAUGCAUCCACUUAUUUACACUGGCAUCAUGUUGGAGACAGUUGUGUCUUAGAUUGUAGACAUCCCUUGUAGGAUGGUUAAAAAUAAAAUUGCAAUUCAAACUGGCUCCCUCUGAGUUUCAUAACUGUCAUGAAAGCAAUCUGUUCACACAGUACUGCUAUACAGCAGGACUGGAUGCAGUCAGGAUGUGAAUAAGGGUGCUAUUGAACAGCACAACACACCCUCUGUAAUGUGACAUGGAGAGCACAUCAAUCUGUGCAGAGCAAAUAGGGUCGAGCAGGAACUGUAGCUCCUUUAUGUGCCCCUGGUAAAUAUGUCCUUCCUCUGAAAGCAAAAAUGCUAAAAAUAUAGGUAUAUAGGGCUUCCAAAAGAAUGGACUUUGCUAUUUGGUCUUCAAAGCUAACGCUUAUCCAAUUUUGGUCAAAUAUCUGCAUGCAUGAGGCAAAUCAGUGGAUCCAGUCAAGUGGUUCGUACUCUGUAAGAAUCCCUAAAUAAUAUUCCUUUGAGCAGAUAUUUACUCAAUGGAAAAAAAAACAUGUAUGAACAGAAAAUAAUUGAGUGGAGGAUCAUUUUUGCACAGGUGCUGCAGAAGAGUGAGGAGAGAGUCUGCGUUUUUUUCCCCAAGUAAUUUUUCUGCAGAGUAACAGAUUCGUGAAACAACCUGUGUGAUGGCUGAGUGUAAGGUAACUCCACAACCACAAACGUAGCCAAGUUGUUCCUUUUUUGAGAACAUUGGGUUGUGUACAGAUGUGUUUGUCUCUCUGAAGAGAACAAGUAGUCUAACAGGGUCUGUUAAAAGCAUCUGUAAGACCCCUAGAUAUUUACAUAAUCAAAUGAAAAUCUAAAUCUUGACUUCACCUACAAAUGGAUUGGAUUCCUGCUGUUUGGCCUUAACUCAGGAUCAAUUUAGAGUCUGGUUUUUGCUAUCCUUACUCAAAUACAUGCCCCUUGGAGGACAAACCAGUUAGAGUUUGUGAGGUCGUGUCUUCUUACUCUCAUCAGAGCCUUAAAAAUAGCAGUACAAUACAGUAUUUAGUCCUGCACAUGAAAGGUUUAGGUGUUAGAAUGGAUGAUUGUUUCAUGUUACAAACCUGUUAAAGACUGCUUUGUUAUCUGAAUGAGCUAAAACCAGGUAUGUCUGCUAUAUAAAUUGUGGUAAUAGCCCAGCCAUGAAGUAAAUGUCCCCCAAGACAGAUCCAGCCACUGAAUGAUUCUAACUGCAGUAUAAUUCACUAAUGUGAACAGGAUAGCAGUUCACAGUCAUAUAAUGACUGAAUCAUUACUGUGGAAACGUAUAUUGCUAUUUCUACCACAAAUCCUGCACUGGUUUGCAUGUCUUAAGGAGACUCUGUUCUUUUGGAAUGUUUUCUAUCUGUAUUCAGUGUUGUAUUUUUAACCUUCAACAAUUUAAAAAAAAAAACCAAAAAGGAUAUCCUUACGAUUUGUUUUCCAAAAAAGCAUGGUGUACAAUCUUGGCUUGAGACAAUUUCAUAUCUAAUUAUGAACUGGGAAAUAAUUAUAAUUUUUCUAAGUGUUGGGAGAGAAUGAAGAAAACAUGUAGUUUGAGUUUACAUUUUAAGCAUUGCAGUUGUGACACUUCUGCAUAAACCGGGUCAAGAUGAUUUGGGUGAUAAGAAGGAACUGCUUAAAAUGUUUUUCACAGUGGUAAGUCCUAGA